UCCCUGGUGGCCUAGUGGUUAAAGACUCAGCAAUGUCACUGCUGUGGCGUGGGUUUGAUCCCUGACCAGGGAA
rnacentral:tRNA from 1 species